rnacentral:rRNA from 1 species
AGUGAACGCUGGCGGUAGGCCUAACACAUGCAAGUCGAACGGCAGCACAGUAAGAGCUUGCUCUUACGGGUGGCGAGUGGCGGACGGGUGAGGAAUACAUCGGAAUCUACUUUUUCGUGGGGGAUAACGUAGGGAAACUUACGCUAAUACCGCAUACGACCUACGGGUGAAAGCAGGAGAUCUUCGGACCUUUCGCGAUUGAAUGAGCCGAUGUCGCAUUAGCUAGUUGGCGGGGUAAAGGCCCACCAAGGCGACGAUCCGUAGCUGGUCUGAGAGGAUGAUCAGCCACACUGGAACUGAGACACGGUCCAGACUCCUACGGGAGGCAGCAGUGGGGAAUAUUGGACAAUGGGCGCAAGCCUGAUCCAGCCAUACUGCGUGGGUGAAGAAGGCCUUCGGGUUGUAAAGCCCUGUUGUUGGGAAAGAAAAGCAGCAGGUUUAUACCCCGCUGUUCUGACGGUACCCAAAGAAUAAGCACCGGCUAACUUCGUG